rnacentral:rRNA from 1 species
GACGAACCGUGCGAACGUUAUUCGGAAUCACUGGGCUUAAAGCGCGUGUAGGCGGGCCGGCACGUCGGCCGCUGAAAGCCCCCCGGCUCAACCGGGGAAGCGGCGCCGAUACGACCGGCCUGGAGGGGGGUAGGGGGAGCCGGAACUCACGGUGGAGCGGUGAAAUGCGUUGAGAUCGUGAGGAACGCCCGUGGCGAAAGCGGGCUCCUGGGCCCCGCCUGACGCUGAGACGCGAAAGCCAGGGGA